rnacentral:rRNA from 1 species
CGGACGGGUGAGUAACGCGUGAGCAACCUUUCCUUCACAGGGGGAUAAGAUACCGAAAGGUGUUCUAAUACCGCAUGAGACCACAGAGCCACAUGGCUUAGGGGUCAAAGGAGGAAUCCGGUGAAGGGUGGGCUCGCGUCCGAUUAGCUAGUUGGUGAGGUGACGGCCCACCAAGGCGACGAUCGGUAGCCGACCUGAGAGGGUGAUCGGCCACAUUGGAACUGAGAGACGGUCCAA